rnacentral:misc_RNA from 1 species
GAUGAAGAACGUAGCGAAAUGCGAUAAGUAAUGUGAAUUGCAGAAUUCAGUGAAUCAUCGAAUCUUUGAACGCACAUUGCGCCCCCUGGUAUUCCGGGGGGCAUGCCUGUCCGAGCGUCAUUACAACCCUCAAGCUCAGCUUGGUGUUGGGCCCCGCCGCCCCGGCGGGCCCUAAAGUCAGUGGCGGUGCCGUCCGGCUCCGAGCGUAGUAAUUCUUCUCGCUCUGGAGGCCCGGUCGUGUGCUCGCCAGCAACCCCCAAUUUUCUAUGGUUGACCUCGGAUCAGGUAGGGAUACCCGCUGAACUUAAGCAUAUCAAUAAGCGGAGGA